rnacentral:rRNA from 1 species
CAGCAGCCGCGGUAAUACGGAGGGGGCUAGCGUUGUUCGGAAUUACUGGGCGUAAAGCGCACGUAGGCGGCUUGGUAAGUUAGAGGUGAAAGCCCGGAGCUCAACUCCGGAAUUGCCUUUAAGACUGCCGAGCUAGUAGGUGAGAGAGGUAAGUGGAAUUCCGAGUGUAGAGGUGAAAUUCGUAGAUAUUCGGAAGAACACCAGUGGCGAAGGCGGCUUACUGGCUCAUUCUAGACGCUGAGGUGCGAAAGCGUGGGGAGCAAACAGGAUUAGAUACCCCAGUAGUCCCUGUCUCUUAUAC